rnacentral:rRNA from 1 species
GCAGAUGAAUUACGGUGAAAGCCGUAAGCCGCAAGGCAUCUGUGAAGGUGCUGCAUGGUUGUCGUCAGCUCGUGCCGUGAGGUGUCGGCUUAAGUGCCAUAACGAGCGCAACCCUUGUUGUCAGUUACUAACAGGUUCCGCUGAGGACUCUGACAAGACUGCCAUCGUAAGAUGUGAGGAAGGUGGGGAUGACGUCAAGUCAGCACGGCCCUUACGUCCGGGGCUACACACGUGUUACAAUGGGGGGUACAGAGGGCCGCUACCACGCGAGUGGAUGCCAAUCCCAAAAACCUCUCUCAGUUCGGACUGGAGUCUGCAACCCGACUCCACGAAGCUGGAUUCGCUAGUAAUCGCGCAUCAGCCACGGCGCGGUGAAUACGUUCCCGGGCCUUGUACACACCGCCCGUCAAGCCAUGGGAGCCGGGGGUACCUGAAGUGCGUAACCGCGAGGAGCGCCCUAGGGUAAAACUGGUGACUGGGGCUAAGUCGUAACAAGGUAGCCGUACCGG